rnacentral:misc_RNA from 1 species
GGAGGAGGAGGAGAAACUAAACGCAAAAAACAACUGCGCCUGAUAUAUUAGAUGAUGGAGAAAGCAGCAGCAGCAGCAGGGAGGUGGGUGGUGGUAAUGGUACUGGUGAUGGCAGCCAUAUUUCAAGGCACAAGGUCUUUAAACUUGUGUGACAUGAAUGACGAUGGUCUAUUGGCAUGCAAGCCAUCAGUAAGCAAGCCAAAUCCGCUGGAUCCACCGACGAAAGAAUGUUGCAAGGCGCUUAAAGGUGCUAACUUGACGUGCCUGUGUUCAUAUAGAAAUUCCCUCUUGCUGCCUUCUCUUGGGAUUGAUCCUGAUCUUGCAUUGGCUUUGCCUGCAAAGUGUAACCUCACCACUCCUGCCGGUUGCUAAGCCUAUAUUUAUUUGUUGCUAUUCAUGCUUGUUCAUGCUCUUGUUGAACGUAUCUCUAUAAAGAGAGGAGAUCUUUUU